rnacentral:rRNA from 1 species
UACGUAGGGUGCGAGCGUUAAUCGGAAUUACUGGGCGUAAAGCGUGCGCAGGCGGUUCGUUGUGUCCGAUGUGAAAGCCCCGAGCUCAACUUGGGAAUGGCAUUGGAAACUGGCGAGCUGGAGUGUGGCAGAGGGGGGGGGAAUUCCACGUGUAGCAGUGAAAUGCGUAGAGAUGUGGAGGAACACCGAUGGCGAAGGCAGCCCCCUGGGCCAACACUGACGCUCAGGCACGAAAGCGUGGGGAGCAAACAGG